CGGACGAACGCUGGCGGCGUGCCUAACACAUGCAAGUCGAACGAGGUCCAUCCUUCGGGAGAAGACCUAGUGGCGAACGGGUGAGUAACACGUGAAGAACCUGCCCCGAAGACCGGGAUAACCCUCCGAAAGGAGAGCUAAUACCGGAUACCCCCACCGAACCGCAUGGGUUUGGUGAGGAAAUGGAUUCCGCUUCGGGAGGGCUUCGCGGCCUAUCAGCUAGUUGGUGGGGUAACGGCCCACCAAGGCAUCGACGGGUAGCUGGUCUGAGAGGACGAUCAGCCACACUGGGACUGAGACACGGCCCAGACUCCUACGGGAGGCAGCAGUGGGGAAUCUUGCGCAAUGGGCGAAAGCCUGACGCAGCAACGCCGCGUGGGGGAUGAAGGCUCUCGGGUUGUAAACCCCCUUUCAGCAGGGACGAAUCAAGACGGUACCUGCAGAAGAAGCCCCGGCUAACUACGUG
rnacentral:rRNA from 1 species